ACGAACGCUGGCGGCAUGCCUAACACAUGCAAGUCGAACGAGACCUUCGGGUCUAGUGGCGCACGGGUGCGUAACGCGUGGGAACCUGCCCUUAGGUUCGGAAUAACUCCCCGAAAGGGGUGCUAAUACCGGAUAAUGUCUUCGGACCAAAGAUUUAUCGCCUUUGGAUGGGCCCGCGUUGGAUUAGCUAGUUGGUAGGGUAAAAGCCUACCAAGGCGACGAUCCAUAGCUGGUCUUAGAGGAUGAUCAGCCACACUGGGACUGAGACACGGCCCAGACUCCUACGGGAGGCAGCAGUGGGGAAUAUUGGACAAUGGGCGAAAGCCUGAUCCAGCAAUGCCGCGUGAGUGAUGAAGGCCUUAGGGUUGUAAAGCUCUUUUACCCGGGAUGAUAAUGACAGUACCGGGAGAAUAAGCUCCGGCUAACUCCGUG
rnacentral:rRNA from 1 species